GAUGAACGCUAGCUACAGGCUUAACACAUGCAAGUCGAGGGGAAACGAUAUUGGAAGCUUGCUUCCGAUAGGCGUCGACCGGCGCACGGGUGAGUAACGCGUAUCCAACCUGCCCAUCACUUGGGGAUAACCUUGCGAAAGUAAGACUAAUACCCAAUGAUAUCCGUCGAAGACAUCUGAAGUGGAUUAAAGAUUCAUCGGUGAUGGAUGGGGAUGCGUCUGAUUAGCUUGUUGGCGGGGUAACGGCCCACCAAGGCAACGAUCAGUAGGGGUUCUGAGAGGAAGGUCCCCCACAUUGGAACUGAGACACGGUCCAAACUCCUACGGGAGGCAGCAGUGAGGAAUAUUGGUCAAUGGACGAGAGUCUGAACCAGCCAAGUAGCGUGCAGGAUGACGGCCCUAUGGGUUGUAAACUGCUUUUAUAAGGGAAUAAAGUGGGAGUCGUGACUCCUUUUGCAUGUACCUUAUGAAUAAGGACCGGCUAAUUCCGUGCCAGCCGCCGCCGUAA
rnacentral:rRNA from 1 species